GGCUGGUCCAAAGGUAGUGAGUUGUCUCUCUUGAUCAUUUACAGUCAGUUGCAGAUUGAACUCCUUGUUCUACUCUUUCUCCCCUUCUCACUACCGCACUUGACUAGUCUUAA
ensembl:misc_RNA Y_RNA Y RNA